ACUUCCUUACUCCCAUCCUCCCUUCCUUAUCUUUUAGAAAAGAGCUUGUUAAAAAGCCAGGUGGUUUGUUUCAGAAUUCACUAAUGAAAGAACUCUGUAUUCUAUGUCUAGGAGUGUAUUUUGCUGGGAUGAUCAUAAAUUGUAACUGAAGAGAUAAACUACACAAAGGAUACUUCUUUGCUCACAAGGCAGGAAGACGUUUCCUUAUUUGGUCUGUACCGGUUUGAACUGAGAACCUGCUGACACACGAACCUUUUUUCCUCUAUAUAAGCUGUUGUGUACUAAAUAAACCUUUGAGUUGAUUAUGGGAAAGCAACCUGAAGCAGUCUGUGUUUCCUUGUUCUCCCAAGCUACUCCCGGCGCUGUAACUAACCCGCUGAACGGCAUACCUGAGUGUUACUUUGAAUAAUUAGGAGUCUUAUAAGGAAAGGACAAAACUCUGCUUAUCGCUCACGCCACGGAGGAAACCCGGGAUGGAAAUUUCCUUCAAAUUUGGUGUCAGAAGUGGGAUCCUGACGAAGGUAAAUAUGCGUCUUUUAUAUUUAUAUAAGACCGUAUUAUACCUCUCUCAGUGAUCAACCUAUAAAAGAAACGGGAUAUGCUGACGAAGUUUCACUUAGUGAUCCAGAGAGAUACACUGACGACUUCCUUAGUCCCCGAAUAAAGUAAAUUAAAAGCAGAAAGACACAGGAAGUUGCCUGUUGUAUUGCGAGAAGCUGCUCGUUAAGUGAGAAGUUGCUCACCCAAACAAAAAUUGCUAGCAAUAAAUUUAAAGUAACCUCAGCUGUGCCGCAGCAAAAUACUAACAUAAAUCCUUCAAAGCGUGUAAACCCCUCUGGAAAUCACUGAACAUGGGUCAGAAUAAUUCAAAGACCACAGACAGGUCCGAGAAAAAAUCGAAAUCAACUGUAAAACCAAAAAAAAAUAAAAUAUAAAGUUUCAAAUAACGGCUCAGUACGCCUCCCACUUCCGGUCACGUGCAACUCACGUCCGCGAAUCGGUGAAGACUUCCAUGAUUACGUAACCAGAACAUGCGGAAGUACUUACGUGACUGACUUUGUUUACAACUUAAGAACUGUAAGUACAAUGCAUUCUAAUUUAUUUCCGGAGCCUUAUCCCGAACGAUUAUCGCCAGAAACCAGGUCAGUAGAAAUGUUGAAUACCAUUUGCGAUAAGAAAAGUAGUCUGCUUAAAAAGUCCUGUAGAAAAUAUGAUAGAAUGCCGCGACGUGAUACAUCAAAUGUUACCACUAUGGAAAAAGGGACCGGAACCAGGUGUAGAUGCUUUAACAUCAAAUAAAACUAGUGCAGGCUCUAGCAAAGAACAUAAACCUACCGCAGGAAAAGCUAGUCUUGCAUGUUCAGCCGUUCAGCCUACAGCCCCACACCCUUACGAUGAGACCGAAUUAAUAGUCGCUGUAGCAGCUGCACGUAAACAAUGUCAGCAUUCUGAUCCAACCAGCUCAAAAGAAAGCGACGAAAAAUCUGAAUCACAUGCAACGGAUCUUAGACACCUAAUUGAACAAGAUCAGGAAAAACAAUAUAUACGCCGCAAGGAAGAAUUAGCAGAACAUAAAAAAAAGAGAAAAACUUUUGAAAGAAGAAUGUGAGGAACUUAUGAAAAACAAUUUAGACGACUAUGAAGAAAAACUUUUGCAUCAGGCAGUGUCCACGAUAGACACCCACAUGAAACGCCACGAUAUCGUAGCUAGAGGUUUAGAGGUAGCUAAAGAAAUACCUGUUACCCGAACUUUAAUAAAGACUUAUCUAAAAGGAAAAAAGGAAAAACAAAGCCAGAAUGACAAAGGUCCUCACGCCAACACUCGCGGUAGUAAACAAACAGAACCAAAAUCUAGUGACAUCAAUGACACUUACCCCUUUAUGAUAAUAGGAGAUCAGUGUUGUAUUCAGCCCCCUAAAAUCUCAGAAUUAGUGGCAACUAUUAAAGAGCUUCCCGAUCCUCUUAAAAAUCUUACAGCCUUUGUCUCUGCACUACAGAGAAGUACCAGAUAUCACCAUUUGGGUGGUCC
ensembl:lncRNA